CUUUUCCUUCCCUUUUCCUUCACAACUGCUCCAGCCUGAUUGCAUAAACCCAGAUGACAUAGAUUUAGAAAAUGAACCCUGGUAUAAGUUCUUUUCAGAACUGGAGUUUGGACGUCCGCCAUUGAAGCUGUUUUGUCAUUCCUCCGCAUAGCCACCUAAAAAGCUUUUGGACUAUGUUCAAGACAGUUCUUCCGGUGUUUCCAAUGAG